rfam:Picea glauca, whole genome shotgun sequence.
CAAUUGUAUGUGAUGAAAAUUGUUAUAAUGGGUAAUUUGCAGCUUAAUAUCGUGAUGCCACACCCUGAAUACCUGAUGCUAUAA